AUUGAACGCUGGCGGCAGGCCUAACACAUGCAAGUCGAACGGUAACAGGAAACAGCUUGCUGUUUCGCUGACGAGUGGCGGACGGGUGAGUCAUGUCUGGGCAACUGCCUGAUGGAGGGGGAUAACUACUGGAAACGGUAGCUAAUACCUCAUAACGUCGCAAGCCCAAAGAGGGGGACCUUCGGGCCUCUUGCGAUCGGAUGUGCCCAGGUGGGCUUAGCUGGUAGGUGGGGUAACGGGUCACAUAGGUGACGAGGUCUAGCUGAUGUGAGAGGCAGACAGGCGACCCUGGAGCGGGAACACGGUCCAGGGGCCUACGGGAGGGAGCAGUGGGGAAUAUGGGACAACAGGCGCGAGCCUGAUGCAGCCGCGCGGCGUGUGAGAAGAAGGCCUUCGGGUUGUAAAGUACGUUCAGGGGGGAUGAAGGGAGUAAAGUUGAUACCAUGGCUGAGUGACGGUACCCGCAGAAGAAGCACCGGCUAACUACGUG
rnacentral:rRNA from 1 species